rnacentral:rRNA from 1 species
UGAGGUCACGGCAAGACGAGCCGUUUUUCAUCACGAUAGGUGCCAGGUGGAAGUACAGUAAUGUACGCAGCUGAGGCAUCCUAACAGACCGAGAGAUUUGAAC